UUCCCAGUUUGAUUUUUCUGCUUUUGUUUAGCCACAUGAAAUGAAGAUCACCUCUGCCUAUCUGCAGGACAUUGAGAAUGCCUAUAAGAAAACCUUUCUCCCUGAGAUGAGUGAAAAAUGUGAGGUUUUACAGUAUUCUGCAAGGGAAGCUCAAGAUUCAAAAAAGGCGGUAGAGGACAUUGAAUACCUGAAGUUCGAUAAAGGGCCGUGGCUCAAGCAGGACAAUCGCACUUUAUACCACCUGCGAUUACUGGUUCAGGAUAAGUUUGAGGUGCUGAAUUACACAAGCAUUCCUAUCUUUCUCCCGGAAGUCACCAUUGGAGCUCAUCAGACUGACCGUGUCUUACAUCAGUUCAGAGAGCUGCCGGGCCGCAAGUACAGCCCUGGGUACAACACCGAGGUGGGAGACAAGUGGAUCUGGCUGAAGUGAACGGGCCGCCUUCUGCUCCAGCUGCAUCACAGUGAUGGCCAAGCUGCAUCAGCCGCACUCUCCUGGACGCCAUAUAGCUUUAAGAUCGGGGGAGGGUAAAUAAUGCAAAAAUUGCACAGUGGAAGAAGGGGUCUCACAAAAAGCAAUCCAUCCUGUAGUAUAGGUAAUGGAGUUGGGGGAAGCAGCUUCCAUUCUGGAUGUUUGGAACCCUUUAGCUUUGUUUUGGAAUGGCCCACCAUUCUCACUGGAAAACAGUGGUCUGCUGUGAAAGGCCAGCUCUCGGCGGCCCCUGUGGUUUCAGCGCUGCCGCUCUGUGUCAUUCAGGUUGUGUACAUUGUUUUUCUUCCGACUUCCAGAAAUAAAAGUGUUUCCAUGGGAAUUUCCCCA
rnacentral:sRNA from 1 species